rnacentral:tRNA from 1 species
GCCUUCGUAGUGUAACGGUAGCACACUCGCCCGUAUUCGAGAGGUCCAGGUUCGAAUCUUGACGAGAGCA